rnacentral:rRNA from 1 species
GAGUUUGAUCGUGGCUCAGGAUGAGCGCUGGCGGCGUGCCUAAUACAUGCAAGUCGAGCGGUAAGGCUCCUUCGGGAGUACACGAGCGGCGGACGGCUGAGUAACACGUAGGAACGUACCCCAAAGUGAGGGAUAACUGCUCGAAAGAGUAGCUAAUACCGCAUGUGAUCCACGGAUUAAAGCUUUAUGCGCUUUGGGAACGGCCUGCGUCCGAUUAGCUAGUUGGUAGAGUAAAAGCCUACCAAGGCGACGAUCGGUAGCUGGUCUGAGAGGAUGAUCAGCCAGACUGGGACUGAGACACGGCCCAGACUCCUACGGGAGGCAGCAGUAGGGAAUUUUCCACAAUGGGCGAAAGCCUGAUGGAGCAACGCCGCGUGCAGGAUGAAUGUCUUCGGAUUGUAGACUGCUUUUGUUGGUGACGAUUAUGACGGUAACCAACGAAUAAGGGUCUGCUAACUACGUGCCAGCCGCCGCAGU